ensembl:lncRNA
UAUAUAUAUAUAUAUAUAUAUAUAUAUAGUUACAUAUAUAGACAUGCAUAUAUCUAUCUAUAGUUACAUAUAUAUUCAGUUAAAUGAAUACAAAUACCACACAUGAGUACUACAGUAUUGCAUAUUAGUAAAUGUGUCUCGCUUCAUCUUGUGAGCAUCUGUAUCUCUCCCGUUGCAUUGUGGGACUUCCUGGCAUGUCUUUUGUCCCUCCUGUGUUGCUGUACGCCUCGUUAAAUACUUCAAACGUCUCACACCACACACAAAAAUACAUUCCUGGUAUUUUUAGGACCCCCAUCCAGAUGUGUUUCCCCUCCUGACUCCAGACAGAUGCUGUAUUUAGAGAACGUGUCUUCACCUCUCACACCUGACUGAGGGACAUGUCCCUCUGAGGUCCAACACAGCGCCCUGUCGGAUUAUUCACGUGUGUGUGUGUGUGUGGCGAGCUGUUUGUUGUGUGAAAGAUAACUGAUCGAUAACAAAGUCCAAACAACAUCUUUUUCAUUUAAAAACUAGCUUCUAGUUUCUCUUGUUCACCUGAAUAAACAUCUGGACUGCUUAUGUCUUAACGUGUUUCCAGGUGACCUCUAAGUGUCCUCUUUUCUCUCCGGGAGACCCUUAAGUGUCUCCAGGUGUCCCCAGGUGACCUCUCAGUGUCUCCAGGUGUCCCCAGGUGACCUCUCAGUGUCUCCAGGUGUUGGUACUCCUACGUUUUCAACCUACAGCCUGUAGAGUCUCCAGCGGCAGAGGAACUCCCUAAAAGCUCUUUGCUUUUAUUUCACCUUUCAAAAGUGACGGAAAGAUUGAACGUUUUGAACAUUUAACAUUUGGACUGACAACAGACUCCUGGAGUCUCCUGGGGUCCCAAGUCUUUGGCUCGGGGUCCAGGUGCUCUGUGCUCAGGUGUGUUGAGUGGACUCGGGUUCAUUGAGGUGAUUCAGGUCAGCGUGGCGCAGGGUAGAGAGGGUCGAGCCCUGUCUGCUCCGUGUCCCAUGUCGAGGUGUCGCAUUAAGACACGUACCCCCUAACUGCUCCGUGUCCCAUGUCGAGGUGUCACAUUAAGACACGUACCCCCUAACUGCUCCGUGUCCCAUGUCGAGGUGUCACAUUAAGACACGUACCCCCUAACUGCUCCGUGUCCCAUGUCGAGGUGUCACAUUAAGACACGUACCCCCUAACUGCUCCGUGUCCCAUGUCGAGGUGUCACAUUAAGACACGUACCCCCUAACUGCUCCCCGGCAUGUAAAAAGCGACGGGUUAAAAAUGCAACGUAAGUGGCUUUGGAUAAAAUGCUAAAUGACCUGUAAUGUGAUUCAGACUAAACACAGUAAAUCAUCACUCCUUCAUCUCGUCUCCACAGCCUGCUGGUCCGCCCAGGACGACCUGCUGCACACCCAGUCUAAACAAAACCCUGUUACCCACAAUGCACCUCGCACCUUUCCACGUGUCAUUUCCCAGAAUGUUCUGAAAACGAACCUCAGAGGAAUCCUGAGGGAAAGUUCUCACAUCUGCUCCAAAGAUGAGAAGCUAAAGGGAAGUUUAGAGAUUUUAAUUCAUAUUAUAAAGUUCAUAACGUAAACCAGCCUUUAAAACAUGACGGAGAACCUGUGUGUUGGAGGCGCGUGUAAUUCAUGCACAAAUAAACAAAUAACAGUGACAAGAAGCUAAAGGACAACUAUUACAGGUCAAAUGGUUUUCAAAUUGAACAAUUAAUGUUUGAAGAGGAGCUCAUUGCGCCUCAUGACGGCGUUUCAACGUGUUCUGAGCACAUGAGACACUGGUUUAGUGCUGUGUGUGAAGUAUGAAUAGAAAUAAGUCUGUCCAUUGAGGAUUAAAUGUUUUACUUUCGCUGUCCACUUAUUCCUCGUUUUUCUCACGGUUCUUUUUUUCAAAUUUCACUCGUUUACUUUUUCUCUUUUUAUUUGUAUUUUGCCGCUACCUCUGUCGUCUGUCCGCAGUAUUGAGACGAUAUCAUCGUCCUGCCUGGAAUGCAAAGACUCGAUUGGUCGAGUGGUAUCACGUUGGAUGGUUGAACUCGAUUGCGAUUGGUUAAGCCACUAACGUUUAAGUCACUACCGUAAAGACGACCAAAGCUGCGCGGGUCACAACAACCGUUUGUUUUUAGCUUUUGGUCCAGAUGGGACAGCUUCUGGAUCCAGAUCCAGACCGCGUCCCGCCAAUUAGUGACCUCUGGGCCACGUUGUAGCAUUAAGUUGUAGCAUUGACUUGUUAGGCUACGUUGUAGCAUUAAGUUGUAGCAUUGGGUUGUUAGGCUACGCUGUAGCAUUAAGUUGUAGCAUUGAGUUGUUAGGCUACGCUGUAGCAUUAAGUUGUAGCAUUGGGUUGUUAGGCUACGUUGUAGCAUUAAGUUGUA